rnacentral:rRNA from 1 species
UAGUCCACGCUGUAAACGAUGGAUACUAGGUGUAGGGGGUAUCGACCCCUUCUGUGCCGGAAUUAACACAAUAAGUAUCCCACCUGGGGAGUACGGCCGCAAGGCUGAAACUCAAAGGAAUUGACGGGGGCCCGCACAAGCAGUGGAGUAUGUGGUUUAAUUCGAAGCAACGCGAAGAACCUUACCAGGACUUGACAUCCCUUGACAACCCUAGAGAUAGGGCAUCCCUUCGGGGCAAGGUGACAGGUGGUGCAUGGUUGUCGUCAGCUCGUGUCGUGAGAUGUUGGGUUAAGUCCCGCAACGAGCGCAACCCCUAUUGUUAGUUGCCAGCAUUAAGUUGGGCACUCUAGCGAGACUGCCGGUGAUAAAUCGGAGGAAGGUGGGGAUGACGUCAAAUCAUCAUGCCCCUUAUGUCCUGGGCUACACACGUACUACAAUGGCGAUUACAACAGGAAGCGAAACCGCGAGGUGGAGCAAAUCCCCAAAGGUCGCCCCAGUUCGGAUUGCAGGCUGAAACUCG